CCUACGGGUGGCAGCAGUGAGGAAUAUUGGUCAAUGGACGAGAGUCUGAACCAGCCAAGUAGCGUGAAGGAUGACUGCCCUAUGGGUUGUAAACUUCUUUUAUAUGGGAAUAAAAUGUUCCACGUGUGGGAUUUUGUAUGUACCAUAUGAAUAAGGAUCGGCUAACUCCGUGCCAGCAGCCGCGGUAAUACGGAGGAUCCGAGCGUUAUCCGGAUUUAUUGGGUUUAAAGGGAGCGUAGGUGGAUUGUUAAGUCAGUUGUGAAAGUUUGCGGCUCAACCGUAAAAUUGCAGUUGAAACUGGCAGUCUUGAGUACGGUAGAGGUGGGCGGAAUUCGUGGUGUAGCGGUGAAAUGCUUAGAUAUCACGAAGAACUCCGAUUGCGAAGGCAGUUCACUGGACUGCAACUGACACUGAGGCUCGAAAGUGUGGGUAUCAAACAGGAUUAGAUACCCGAGUAGUC
rnacentral:rRNA from 1 species